rnacentral:rRNA from 1 species
AGCUCGUAGGCGGUUUGUCGCGUCUGCCGUGAAAGUCCGGGGCUUAACCCCGGAUCUGCGGUGGGUACGGGCAGACUAGAGUGCAGUAGGGGAGACUGGAAUUCCUGGUGUAGCGGUGAAAUGCGCAGAUAUCAGGAGGAACACCGAUGGCGAAGGCAGGUCUCUGGGCUGUAACUGACGCUGAGGAGCGAAAGCAUGGGGAGCGAACAGGAUUAGAUACCCUGGUAGUCCAUGCCGUAAACGUUGGGCACUAGGUGUGGGGGACAUUCCACGUUUUCCGCGCCGUAGCUAACGCAUUAAGUGCCCCGCCUGGGGAGUACGGCCGCAAGGCUAAAACUCAAAGGAAAUUGACGGA